UCUGCUCCUGGAACGAACUGCUCUUCCACCCAUUUUACUAACACCCAUCCCCGAGACGGGAGGGCGGCCCUCAAGGGAAAUGGUCAGUUUUAGAUGACUCCAUCGGAGCCCUCGACGUGGGAAAUAGGUAGAAGAACAAAGGAAGUAACAGGGUCAUAUUUAGAGGAGCACUGACCACAGCACUUCCACCACUCAACAGGGAAGCCAAUGCUUUCCCCAUUUACCUACCUUUUAAAUCCUGCCUUUUCUGUCACCAUCUUGUCAAGCUGCUCUACCUGGGAAGAAAAAGACAUCCUUCUAGAAAUCCAGGUGUGACCAGCAUGAGAACAUCUCAACGUCCUGCGCUGGUUCGAUCCUUGGUGCCCCUUUCAGUCCAAAGACUCGGCUCCUCCCAGGAUCCAUCUCUCUGCCCGUCCUGGAGGUCAGCUCGUCUUUGGCGCCCUCACCCGAGCGUCCACGUCCUCCUGCUGCUCUAGAAUACCUUCUGAUGGUCUCCCUCGAAGAGCUGCAGGAAGCUGGCCUGCGUGCCGGUGGUGCCCUUCACUCCCCGGAAACGCAGGUCAUCUCGGACACGCUUCAAGUUCUGGAGGUCCAUGCAUAGAUCCUGAAUCCAGAGACAGCAGCGCUUCCCAACUGUGGUCAGCUGAGCAGGCCUGAGAACGGCGCAGAAAGGACACACUGAAGUCUCAAACCAAGGACUUACUUCAUAGAGGCUUCACCGUUCUUCAAACAGUCACUGCAUUUAGGAACGAACCCAUACGGAAGCGAUCCUAGGCACCAAAACCACUUUGUGAGCGCCUAGCGCCUGCGGACUGUGGUGGCAGACGCGCCGGCAGCACACCACCCCCAGAGGGGGCUGGGGGCCCGCGCUCUGAGCGCGCUCCAGAACUCCCAGGAGAGGAAGAGGAGCUGGAACUCACGCACUGCUAGGGAGCCGGCACGAGGCGACGUGUGCCAUGGCCAACUACACACUGUGCGCUGACUCCUCACAGGCGAUUUCUUCAGGUUUCUGCGACCACUAAGUGCAGGCCUUACCUCUGGGGAAGGUUAGACUCACCGGACCUCCCUGAAUUUCAGGAGAUAGUAUCUUUGUCGCCAUAGCAACACCCCAUCGAGACAUAAGGCAGAUGCUAACACACAACUGCUCCAACACCAUCACCUGGAACUCGCUACUAGCAUUCCAAAAACGACAUGAUCUGCUUUGAAAAGGACUUUAUUUGAUUUAUUCAUAAGCGGUGCCCAUCUCCUACCAUGGGGAAUCCAGGGCUGGAAGGAAACUUCGGCCAGCUCCUUACCUUUGGCAAAAGCAGGUCAAACGCACCUCUAAGAAUAAUCAGGUCCUGCAAAGGAGAACGUAGUCGUCUCACAUUAAUCAGCUUUGCUCAAACAAUAUUAUGACCCAACACUCUGGCCACCCCAACUGGGCUUCUCAGCUCGCCACCUGCCUCACUAUCAGCAACCCUCUGUGCAACUCAGAAGAUGCCGAGAGAAGUGGUUCUUUUCAGAACAACUGUUUUAAAUGCACAUCAACCUAGAGAGCAGUACUUCUGGGAUCUUUAGGGAGCAAAAUCUUUACACUCCUGAAGGCCAAUUUACGUGGUAUCUAAAAUGACUGGAAAACUGUUAUGGGGCAAACCUUCAUCCUGAACACUGGGAAGAUGUCCAGAUCAACAAGCUUUCUAUCUUUCCAAAGAGGAAUGUGUGUCUGAGAAGGUUCCACGGGGCAUAUUCCACAGCCUUCCCUCCUUUCCCCACAUCUACCGUUGCUAACAACAACAACAAAGACAUGAACCAGAACAUCAAGGUUUAGGAAAUUUAAAGUUGCUCUUGAGGGAAAUAAGAGAUGUAUUUCAGGCAACUAUAAUAUGUGCUUAGGAGACAGUUAAUUGCUGAGCUCAACUUACACACUGGGUUCUUCAAACAUAUAUUCCACGUGAAAGGAUUGUUCUUCUAUUAUUCGAGUUACCAAUACAGACGCCUCUUAUUCUGCACCACUUGAGACUAAAAGCAUGUGGGGCAACUUAAAAAUAGUGGCUUCUUUCUGAAUUGGAAGUGUAUCUGGACUCGAACAUCUGGUCCUAUGGGCACAGUGUGAUUGCGGACACAGCUUCGGAGCCGUUCUCCCUGGGCUUGAUUCCUAUCUAGCUGCGUGACAUAAGGCAAGUUCUUCAACCUCUCCUCAAGUACCCUCAUCUGUAGAGACAGGGAUCAUAAAGCCAGAUCCCAAAGACGACAUGCUCCGAUUCCAUUUCUGCGACAUUACCAGAAAGGGCAAAACUACAAAGAAAGCAGAUCAACUGUUCUUUGGGUUAAAAAGCAGGAGUGAGAACUGGCUGCACACAGGGCAGGGCAACUUUUCAGAGGGAGGGAUGUGUUGUGACGCUGGAGCGUGGUGACCUGAACUGCGUAAAUCUACUAACACUCACUGAACUGCGCAUUUAAGACAGGUAAAUUCAUGCCAUGUAAACUGCACCUCAAGAAGCUGUUUAAAAACGGAGAUAAAAGGACCUCUUGUAUGGUUCUUAUGAACAACACGUGAAGGAAUACAUACAAAGUGUUCAGAAUAGUGCCAAGCACUUGGUAAACUCUUAGGAAAACUGUUACUUUUCAUGAAGGAUAUUACUUUUUCAUGUUUGAGAAUACGCUGCU